AUGAUCCCAGUACAAGCACAUAUAUGACUCUAGAUCUCAAGUCCAGUUCUUCUGAUGUGUACAACACACUCACAUCUGUCCAUCCCAGAGCUGCUGUUCAUCAGUCGGGCUCUUCUGAAUAUCAGAAUCAGACAGUAUGCAGCAGCAACCAAAACAUCCUGUAUUAACUGUAUUAGUCACACACAACACUGACAGGAAUUUCACAGUUCAUGCAUUACUGUAUUACCUAUAAUACUCUCCGACUGUCAUUACAAACACAGGCAUAGUUUUGAAGAUUCUGAUUAGUGACAUAUGUUGAGACACUGUCAGUGGGCUCUGAUUCAUUGCAGAGGUUGGUUUUCUGGAUGGGGUUAUUUCCUGUGCCACCCACCUCUACUACCCACUAGAUCCUG